GGGGAAGAAAAAGAAAAGAAUCGGAGAAGGGAGGUUGUUGAUCUUGGAAGCUAAGGGAAAUGAGGGAUUUGCUUGAUGCUAAGCACAUAUUGCUUGAGUGGAGAUUACCCAGGUAUGGUUACUAUGUCUUCAAUGUUUCCAUUAAAACCUUGUUCUUCUCUUUUUAUCUUCUCUUCACUGCCCUUUGUUGCGCAUGCGUUCAUUUUUUGUGGGGAUCUCCUAUUAGAGGAGGGAGAAGGGAGGGGAAGAAAAAGAAAAGAAUCGGAGAAGGGAGGUUGUUGAUCUUGGAAGCUAAGGGAAAUGAGGGAUUUGCUCGAUGCUAAGCACAUAUUUGCUUGAGUGGAGAUUACCCAGGUAUGGUUACUAUGUCUUCAAUGUUUCCAUUAAAACCUUGUUCUUCUCUGUUUAUCUUCUCUUCACUGCCCUUUGUUGCACAUGGGUCGGCAAGCUCUGCAACUUAUUGCUCCUAUUCUUCUUCGCUGGUGUCUCUCUUGUUGAGCCUCGGACUUUGCAGUUUUGUUUGGAGUCCUACUGGUGUUUAGUCGUUUUUGUUCAUUAUUUAGCAUUCAGCUCUUGCUCGUGUAUUUGAGCAUAAGAAUGUCUGUUUCUUGGGUAUGUUGUAAACAGUGUUUGAAAUAUAUUUUUCUCUGAAAUUUCGGUAAUCGGCCGGCUCCCGUC
rnacentral:lncRNA from 1 species